CAGUCGCCGCGGUAAUACGGAGGAUCCAAGCGUUAUCCGGAUUUAUUGGGUUUAAAGGGUGCGUAGGUGGCUUAUUAAGUCAGGGGUGAAAGACGGUAGCUUAACUAUCGCAGUGCCUUUGAUACUGAUGAGCUUGAAUGAACUAGAGGUAGGCGGAAUGUGACAAGUAGCGGUGAAAUGCAUAGAUAUGUCACAGAACACCAAUUGCGAAGGCAGCUUACUAUGGUUUUAUUGACACUGAGGCACGAAAGCGUGGGGAUCAAACAGGAUUAGAUACCCGAGUAGUCCCUGUCUCUUAUAC
rnacentral:rRNA from 1 species